rnacentral:rRNA from 1 species
GACGAACGCUGGCGGCGUGCUUAACACAUGCAAGUCGAACGGAAAGGCCCUGCUUUUGUGGGGUGCUCGAGUGGCGAACGGGUGAGUAACACGUGAGUAACCUGCCCUUGACUUUGGGAUAACUUCAGGAAACUGGGGCUAAUACCGGAUAGGAGCUCCUGCUGCAUGGUGGGGGUUGGAAAGUUUCGGCGGUUGGGGAUGGACUCGCGGCUUAUCAGCUUGUUGGUGGGGUAGUGGCUUACCAAGGCUUUGACGGGUAGCCGGCCUGAGAGGGUGACCGGCCACAUUGGGACUGAGAUACGGCCCAGACUCCUACGGGAGGCAGCAGUGGGGAAUAUUGCACAAUGGGCGGAAGCCUGAUGCAGCAACGCCGAGUGCGGGAUGACGGCCUUCGGGUUGUAAACCGCUUUCGCCUGUGACGAAGCGUGAGUGACGGUAAUGGGUAAAGAAGCACCGGCUAACUACGU